rnacentral:rRNA from 1 species
UACAGAGGUCCCAAGCGUUGUUCGGAUUCACUGGGCGUAAAGGGUGCGUAGGUGGUUGGGCAAGUCUGAUGUGAAAUCUCCGGGCUUAACCCGGAAAUGGCAUUGGAAACUGCCUGGCUAGAGUGUUGGAGGGGGGACUGGAAUUCUCGGUGUAGCAGUGAAAUGCGUAGAUAUCGAGAGGAACACCAGUGGCGAAGGCGAGUCCCUGGACAACGACUGACACUGAGGCACGAAAGCUAGGGGAGCAGACGGG